rnacentral:lncRNA from 1 species
AUCUUUCAUUAACUGCGGAAUAUCUUUUUGUUUGAUAGACAGGUCGACAAUUUACCCAUCUGCUAGGAUCAAGAAAAUAAUUAGUUUGCUAUCAGAAAUACACAUGAGUGACUUUGAAUUUAGAAGAAUGGGACAAUGAAUAAUAAUAUGUCCACAUUCACCAAUUUAUCAAUAAUGCCUAAUCCCCAACAUUAUUUUACUGAAG